rnacentral:rRNA from 1 species
UCUAGCAUGUGCGCGAGUCAUUGGGAGUCGACUAAACCCAAAGGCGCAAUGAAAGUGAAGGUCCGCCUCGCGCGAACCUAGGGAGGAUGGGUCCGUUNCUCGGACGGCCGCCCCGCACUCCCGGGGCGUCUCGUUCUCAUCGCGAGAAGAGGCGCACCCAGAGCGUACACGCUGGGACCCGAAAGAUGGUGAACUAUGCCUGGUCAGGACGAAGUCAGGGGAAACCCUGAUGGAGGUCCGUAGCGAUUCUGACGUGCAAAUCGAUCGUCGGAACUGGGUAUAGG